AUGACUUCACCGGUAAUUAACCGAGCCAAAUGGCUGAUUUUCCUGCCGUGCAUCAUUUUCCAUGGCUGUGCCAGUUCUGCUCCUCUACAGGAGACGGACAGAAACUGCCGGUGCUUUCUUCCUUGUGACGGAUCACCUGAGCUCGAGAAACAUGACAGCGUCCGAGUUCUUGUGCAACAUCUUUCAGAUGAUCUUGAACUAAUACAUAAGGUGUCCAGUUUGUAUGAUGGAGGGCGCUGUUCAGUGCCAGGCUGUUUCCAGAGGAGCAUGCAUUACAGACUGCAAAUGUACGCUAAUGACAAAGACCCAGUGCCUAAAAUACUGCUCAAUAAAACAGAUUUACAGCCUGAAUGUGAUCCAGAGGCAAUAUCAGACAAAAAAACAAACAGUGCUGACGGGAAACUCUGUAACAAGUUCCUGAUCCCACUGGCCUUUUGCUUCUGGAUCGUCUUCCUCCUCGAGGGACCAAGAUAAUGGCACACAUACACAGCAGCUACUCCAGGGCCAAAGAAAUGCUGUUCCUCAUGCACUACCACAUCACAACACCUAAAACUAUCAUCUCAGGCUUUACAUUCCAGGACUAUGGGCUUUCUCAGACCAUGAGGACUUCAUGAUCAAAAACGCACUAAAUGGACCAUUGUUUUUGUUAGGCCAGGCUGCUUUAAAAUGCAUGCUUUUAUAGAUUUCCUAUUUUUAUCUCUUGCUCUAAAUUCUCUUAUUUUAUAUGUGCUUUUCUUAUCUUAUGCUACACGUACAGCAUCACAAAACUGGAAACAUGCAUUUCGGUCCACAAAACAACAUUAAAGAAAAAAACAAUUGACUUUCUCCAGGAGGUCUAUAUGACCAGUUGUGCCUCAAAUAGACAGUUAUUCUUCCUCCCUGUGUAGUCAAUUUGACUUCUACCCACAGUUUAUUUAUUUUAUUUUAUUUUUUAUUUCACAGUGUAUAUAGUAUUUAACAGAUUAUUUGUCCCAUCCAUGUUAAAAUUUUUUAUUAAUGCAAAAUAAUGUAUUUAUAAUAAAUAUAUAUUUUAAUGUCUUCACAAAUUCAUUUGUUCAUGUUUUUCUUUACAUAAAAUGUAGAAGUUGUAAAUUAAAUAGUAAUAAUGCAACUCAUUUACUGGAAAAUUAUUAGCAUUAUAAAUGGGUUUACAAAGUGCUUUAAGUGGCCCAAAAGAGGUGCCGGUACUCUAUUAUAGCCUAUAUAUAUAUAUAUAUAUAUAUAUAUAUAUAUAUAUGUUUUUUUUUUGAUGACUCCCCUCAUUCCCUGAGGUAACAACAACUAUGUUGAAGGGGUUUUAUAUACAGCAGUCAACAGACGACCUUAUAAAAAAAUAAUAAAUCCUUUUUAUUAAUUUUGUGGAUUUGCUUGAGCUAGAAAGAGCUACUGAACAUAAAUAAAAUGUGCAAAAGGAUUUUGAAAAAAUACCCUUAGAAAGAGCUACUGAACAUAAAUAAAAUGUGCAAAAGGGUAUUGAAUUUUUUUUUAACAAAAUGUAAAUAAAAUAAAUUAUAAAACAUAACAUAACCAUAGAACAGUAGAACAGGGUGUCAGCCAGCGAGUCAUCUGAUUCUGACCGUGUUCUUUUAGUACUCAGAGUCUGAAGCCAGGAGAGCAUAUUAAGUGUUGUUCACUGUAUUUGUAUUUUUACCGAGCCGAGUGUGCGCGUUUCACACACCCUCUCCGGCCACGUUGAGUUGUUGACACUGAAAGCGGCAAAAGCGACGCAUGCGCUUUUCACUUGUAAAACUCAAGGGUGUAUGGGUAAUGUAGUCUCUGCUCUAGGUGGGAUGAAUUAGGAAGCGUGCAUUAUGAAGGGCGCUCUGAAAAGCGGCAGCGCAGGCAAAGGAUUAAAACCUCUAUUAAAACAGAUGUCCAAAUGAGCGUACCGGUACGCUAAAAGCACGUUCUGGGCGCACGGAGAGGUGGCGGUACGCUCAAGAGCUAUAUUUGGAAGUGGCGGUACUGAGUACCGGUGCGUACCGGCCCACUUAAAGCACUGGGUUUACAGUUCAACACUAUUAUACAGAUAUUUAUUUAUUGAUUUAAUUUUUACGUAUCAUUAAAAUGGUAAUUAUUAUUAUUUGAUUGAUAAUAAAUAAAUGCAGUAAGAUAUUGUUCUGCCUGUUUUUAGUGAAACAGUGCAGAUACAGCUGGUAUAAGAUAUUUAUAGCUGUAUGGCUCAAGUCACUGCUCAUUGGCAGAUGUAACAAAAUUUUCAGAGUUUCCGAGCCUGUGCACACAUGAAGUUACAUUAAAGCUGAUGUAGACCACAUCCAAUAAUACAUACAAAAAUUUAUAUUUUUAUAUUAUGAAUAAUUAUAGCAUUGCACAUACAAACCCAAUUCCAAAAAAGUCGGGACACUGUACAAAUUGUGAGUAAAAAAGGAAUGGAAUAAUUUACAAAUCUCAUAAACUUAUAUUUUAUUCACAAUAGAAUAUAGAUAACAUAUCAAAUGUUGAAAGUGAGACAUUUUGAAAUGUCAUGCCAAAUAUUGGCUUAUUUUGGAUUUCAUGAGAGCUACACAUUCCAAAAAAAGUUGGGACAGGUAGCAAUAAGAGGCCGGAAAAGUUAAAUGUACAUAUAAGGAACAGCUGGAGGACCAGUUUGCAACUUAUUAGGUCAAUUGGCAACAUGAUUGGGUAUAAAAAGAGCCUCUCAGAGUGGCAGUGUCUCUCAGAAGUCAAGAUGGGCAGAGGAUCACCAAUUCCCCCAAUGCUGAGGAGAAAAAUAGUGGAGCAAUAUCAGAAAGGAGUUUCUCAGAGAAAAAUUGCAAAGAGUUUGAAGUUAUCAUCAUCUACAGUGCAUCAUAUCAUCCAAAGAUUCAGAGAAUCUGGAACAAUCUCUGUGCGUAAGGGUCAAGGCCGGAAAACCAUACUGGAUGCCCGUGAUCUUCGGGCCCUUAGACGGCACUGCAUCACAUACAGGAAUGCUACUGUAAUGGAAAUCACAACAUGGGCUCAGGAAUACUUCCAGAAAACAUUGUCGGUGGACACAAUCCACCGUGCCAUUCGCCGUUGCCGGCUAAAACUCUUGAGGUCAA
ensembl:lncRNA